ACCACGUGAUCUGGCGUCAUAGAUGUGCGCAAAGCAAGCAGCUCAGCCAUCUUUUAUUUUUAUUAUAUUAAUAAAAAGCUUUUUAAAGCGCGAUCGAUUGAUCCGCUGGAAGGUGUGAUAUGAUCUUCAUAGCCUGUAGUCUGAGACUAGAGAACCGAUUUGACUGCUUUGCAUCCACACCAUCUGUUUGUGGCAGGCUCUGGAAGUAAAUAGUCAUGACAGAGAGAAUAUUUGUGUUUGUUGAUGAAGAGGAGCUUUUCAGUGUGAUGAAGGACCUCGACUGUCUCUACUGUAGGAAUCCAGUUACUGCAUCUAAACAUCACCUCAAAAAAAGACAUCUCAGAUUCGCUAUAUAUUAUAAAGAUUCUGGCAUUGGGAAGUUUUCUAUCCCCUGUUACUGUGCGGACGGAGGCCAUGGCCGGAGCCACUGGCAUUGCCCAAUGUGCACCAAAAUACUGCAAAGGACAAAGGAUUACAAAAUACAUAUUACCAACCAUGGUGUUGAGAUGACAGACCAAUCCACAGUUGAGCUACAACCCUCGACCGUCCUGUUGGAGACCCUGCAAACAGACCCUGACGACAGGACAACAGGCAACAAGUCCUCCUGCCAGAAGUGUGGAGUCCACUUCACCACCACAUCAAACCUGCGACGGCACGAGAGGCUCCAGCACUGCCAGGACCAGCAGCCCAUGCUAUGCGUAGAUGCCAAAAACGCCAUCUAUGUCACACCCAAGGACACACACGGACCCCAGGUGCCCGUUCAUAUCCGGAAAUCCUUCUCCUUACAGAUCCUGCUCUGUGAGCUGGAGGAAUGCUGGGAUUUCAUGAAAGCGCAGGCGCAGAGAGGAAACCCAGGGAGAGAGUGCCGUCACCUGAUGAGGACGAACCUCGCUCGCCCCUACACGCCCCCCCCGCCGCUGUGUGUGCGCUCUCUGGAGGACAUGACACGCAAACACCUGCUGUCCACGCCACACACACAGCAGUGCCAGGAGAUUCACUCCAGGGCGGGUUUGGACGGGGUCGAUUGCGUGUACCCUGUGUUUUGGGGGGGGCACGAGCUCUCCGAGAGAUGCGUGUACUUCUCUGUGUACACCGGGCUUAAGGACAAAUGGUGUCAGUUCGGGAGGACGCGCGUGUCGUUCGACACCAGGUCCGGCAGCUGGAAGUGCCUGUGUGACUUCAGGAAGAGCCGCUGCGUACACAAGUGCUUGGCCAUGUGGUGGCUCUUCCAGGAGCGUCCCGAGCUGCUGGGAAACGCCCUGGAUACGAGCGCUGAUGGUGUGGGGGGGCUGGAGGAGGAGGACGGGGUUCAACUGUGUCCAGAGGAGGGGGACAACAUCUGCUAGUGUCAUCCGUCACAACUACAGUCUCCGUCAAGACGGCACAACAUUCUCGGUGUCUACAUGGUCCUGAGCAGAUCUUGCUAUGAGUGCCAAAGCAGAGCUGGACGUCCCGCCGCACGAUGCCGACGCUCCCUCCGAGAGCAGCGUCCCGCACGCUCACACCGACGGCUCCUCGCACCGCCUCAAACCCCUCGAUACUGCCACUAUCAUUUUUCCAGCUUCUGCUCAUUCGUUGCCAAAAGUGGAGCUGCCUCAAAAUGCAAUCAGGGCAAUUAAAGGGAGUGAACUGGAGGCCGCAUCACUUCCUGCUCAGGUCGGAGGGACUAUCGUCCAUGUUCUGGGCUGGAAGGAGGGAGUCGCGAUCCUCCCGGGAAGCAAUCUGAAGCUAUGUGUUAGUGAUACUGGUUCGCUGGAAGUGAUCAGUGAAGGGAAAAUAGGCUCUGCUAACCUGACCACCGGAGGAGUUCAGACAAAAUCAGCUGAUAUGGAGCUCAAACAGGGUGAAAAAUCAGGUAAUUUUUCAUUAGAUGCCUCUGGAUUAUU